rnacentral:rRNA from 1 species
AGAUUGAACGCUGGCGGCAGGCCUAACACAUGCAAGUCGAGCGGUAGAGAGGUGCUUGCAUCUCUUGAGAGCGGCGGACGGGUGAGUAAUGCCUAGGAAUCUGCCUAGUGGUGGGGAUAACGUUCGGAAACGGACGCUAAUACCGCAUACGUCCUACGGGAGAAAGCGGGGACUUCGGGCCUCGCGCCAUUAGAUGAGCCUAGGU